rnacentral:rRNA from 1 species
CCCUUAGAUGUUCUGGGCCGCACGCGUGCUACACUGAUGCAUUCAACGAGUCUAAAACCUGGUCUGAUAGGGCUGGGUAAUCUUUUGAAAGUGCAUCGUGAUUGGGAUAGAUGAUUGCAAUUCUUCAUCUUCAACGAGGAAUGCCUAGUAAACGCAAGUCAUCAGCUUGUAUUGAUUACAUCCCUGCCCUUUGUACACACCGCCCGUCGCUCCUACCGAUUGAAUGAUCCGAUGAAUACCAUGGAUUGAGAGUACGAAUAGGUUCGCUUAUUUCUGCUGCUCGAGAAGUGGAGUAAAUCUUAUCAUUUAGAGGAAGGAGAAGUCGUAACA